CCUACGGGAGGCAGCAGUGAGGAAUAUUGGUCAAUGGGCGGAAGCCUGAACCAGCCAAGUAGCGUGCGGGAUGAAGGCCCUACGGGUCGUAAACCGCUUUUGCACGGGGAUAACACCCUCCACUUGUGGAGUUCUGCAGGUACCGUGCGAAUAAGGGCCGGCUAAUUCCGUGCCAGCAGCCGCGGUAAUACGGAAGGCCCGAGCGUUAUCCGGAUUCAUUGGGCUUAAAGGGAGCGUAGGCGGGCGUUCAAGUCAGCGGUAAAAUGUCGCGGCUCAACCGCGCCUGGCAGUUGAAACUGGAGGGCGCGAGUACAGAAGAGGGAGGCGGAAGUAGUGGAGUAGCGGUGAAAUGAUUAGAUAGGACGUAGAACUCGGAUAGAGAAGGCAGCGGACGGGGGUGAGACCGACGCGGAGGAAUGAGGGGGCGGGUAGCGAACAGGAUUAGAUACCCGAGUAGGG
rnacentral:rRNA from 1 species